rnacentral:lncRNA from 1 species
CUGGCCCCUGCAGGCAAACAUGGCCUCUGUGAUGCAUACCUCCUGUUCAGGGCAAGCCAUGCAGACUCUGCCAUGAACUCACCUGAGGCAGGUCCCUGGUACUGUAGGUCCUAGGAAAAGGCUGGGUUUGAGAGAGGGGCGAGCCUUGGCAAACCCAAGCUGGUACCCAAGGCUUAGAAAACGAAGUACAGAGCAAAAAGGCUGCUGCUUUUGGAAACUGAACAACAUCCAAAGGAAACCCCAUGACCUUGAGGCGCUUGCUGAAUAAAGCUGAUGAGGCUGCUGAAGCCAGGGAGGCAGAGGAAGGAAAUACCAGGAGGCUGGAGCAGAUAAAAAUCCCCCCUGUGGAAGAAGAGUCCCCCGUGUGUAAAAUGGAGGCAGUGACUACUUCUAGAAUAACAGACAUGGACUACAGCUUGGAUCAUUUAGCCAGCAAAGGUCUAAGGACAGGAUACUUUGGAAAAGAAGUUCUGCUUUUGUUUCCACGGAAGAUGAAAAGCUGUGGAUUCCUUCCAAACUAAUAAGGUUUGAUCAAGCAAGACCCCCUGAAGCAGUGACCCAGGUGAUCCAACAUCCAAAACAGCUGAGACCAUGCAGCCUCACAGACCACUACAGCCAGGAUUUUUCCAUGGCUCUAAGUUCUCUGAGGAUCCCCUUGGGAUUGACAGUGCCCACAAACAGCAGUUUGGAAAGAACUAUGCCCAUAUUCCCAAAUAUUGUCUGUUUGUUUUCAUUUAAACAGGGUUAUAAAUAGUUAAUGAUUACAGUCAAUCUCUUUCCAAAGAAGGGAAAUAUAAUAUAGAAGUGAAUAAAUUGGUAUGGAUUUUGGUUUAUUGAU